AACGCACGAGACCUGCGGACCUGCGGAGGGAUCAUUACAGAAUACCCCUCCGGGGGCUUUCUCAACCCAUGUUUACCCCCUUGUGUUUUGGCAGCUUCGGCUGCCAACAUAACUCUUCUGUAUUGUCGUCUGAGUAACAUACAAAUAUUUAAAACUUUCAACAAUGGAUCUCU
rnacentral:misc_RNA from 1 species